UCGCGCAGACUCUGUGCCUGCUUCCCCCGCCCAACCAUUUCCUCUCAGCCAAUCCUCGACCAGUUCUCCCAUGAUGGACAGCCAAUAGUCACCAAUAAUUGCGAGUGAAGAGGAGCACUUUGAUGGUGGAGGGGGAACCACCAGCGGGUGGUGUCUGAGGAGCCCCAGAACGCGAGAAGGCCCAGCUGUGUCUGCCGGGCAGGGUGGGGACUGCUGCCGGCUCGCUGCAGACACCCAUCUGCUCUGGCCUGCAGCCCUGCUCACUCUCUCCUUGGAGGAAAACAGCCCUGCUGUUUGGACAUUCCACCUGCAGAGGAUCGUGUUCCCUUCAAUCCGAUAGUGCGCUGAGGCACACGUACAGAUUCCGAUGCGAACUCGUCUGGCACUCCCAGGAAAAGUCCAUCUUGGUCCUGAUGUACUUACAUUUUACUUUGUAUCAAAGGCUGGAUUCUGCUUGCUAAUAUUUUGUUUAUGAUUUUUCAUCUUUGUUUAUGAGUGAGAUAAAUUGAAUUUUUCUUCCUCAUGUGGUUUGUUUCUGGGUUUGGCAUCAAUGUUAUACCAGUCUCAUGGAAUGGAAGAAUUUGGAUAAGACUGGAAUGAUCUAGGCUUGGAGCUUUCUUUAUGGGAAGCUGUUAAUUCUUAUAUGUUUUAAGUAGUGGGGCUCUUUGAAUUUUGAAUUUGUUCCUCAGUAAGUUCAAUUAUUAUAGUUAUUUUUAGGAAUUUGUCUAUUUCAUUGUAAAUUUAAAAUGUAUUGUCAUAAGGUUCUCAUUAUAUUAUUUUAUUAGUAUUUUCAUCUGAAACAUAUCUAUUU